AUGAGAGGGCUGCACCAGAUGGAAAAUCGGGGGGUAAGGGGAUGUCCGCGCGCAGCCCACCCCGCCCACGGGACCCUCGAGCCUCCAUCACAGUUCCCAACACGCACCCGCCCCACAAAUCCUGCCCAAGGUGAGGGCUGGUCCCGGGUCCUCUGGCUGCCGCAUCAGCGAAGGGAGGUGUCCAUUCCGGUGCUGGAGCCCAGCCCUGGUCCCCGACCCCCUUACCUCCACGGUCCGUAUCUCCUGCUGGGUGAGGUCCUUGGACACAGCGCACUUGGUGCGCAGCCCGCGCAGGCUGCCAACGGAGAUGCCGAUGAGCUUCUGGAGCUGCCCGCACUGCUGCAGUGUCCGGCUGGCCGCGGCCCCUGCACCUCCCUCCGCGAUAGCCGCGUCACCCCCGCCACCGCCCUCCUUCUUCUCUCCCAACGCGGCCGAGCGCAGCGCUGCUCUAUGCAGGCUGCAGCGGCCCAGGAGCAGAGCCCGGGGCGCCAGCGUCUAGGCAAGGAACGCCCGAACCAGGAGAGCUGGACAAGGAGCGCCCCUCGGCGCUGCCUUAGCCAGGACGCCGGUAGAGCUGGCAGCCGAGUCUGCCGAUCCCGCCCUCAGACCCGCGGCGGUGGGGGCAAAAAGCCGCGGUGAUGGGGGCAACAAGCCGCGGUGGCGGGGGCAAAAGCCGCGGCGGCGGAGGCAAAAAGCCGUAAAAAGCCGCAGCGUCGGGGGCAAAAAGCCGCGACGGCGGGGGCAAAAAGUCGCGGUGGCGGGGGCAGAAACAUAGAUAAAAAAAGGACUUGUCUCGGAGCAUGAUUUCUGAAAAUAGUGGAAUCGAGUUUGAAUCUAGGAUAUGAGAACUGAAUAGUGACCAUCAAAGUCUCACCUGAUGUUGGAAAUUGAUCUGAGAGCGCGGAAGGACAGAAUUCUUUCUUUGUUCCUGGGCAGCGGUGGUUGAGGGAUCAUUUUGUGGCAGCUACAGUGGCAAUGAUGGAGGCAGAAUGGAGUGCUCAGUACGAAGACAAGGAGAGACUUGGCCUCACAAUGGCAGCAUUGCAGGGGUGCGCUCUACAGAGCAUUUGCUCACAUGGUUUUGAACAUUGUCUCUAACUACAUUGCUUCCCCAGUAGGUUGACCCAUUCUAACUAACUCCUUUUCUCUUUAAAAAAGCAAACUUCAUUUGUAUGACUUGCAACUGUAAAUGACACCAAUUGGCCAGUUAUCAUUCAAAUUCUCUGUUACUUAAUCCUGCCUUUUCCUAACGUAUGCAACUUUCCCCUAAAAAACUGGACACUUUGUUGCUUACUCAUUGUCUUUACACAUUUUAAAAUGUUGCUUUAUGCCCCCAAUCCCUAACUACAUUUUCAAUGUUUUGCAAGUGGAGUCCAUGUGUUCUUGAUUUACAUGAAGCUCAAAAUAAUGGUUAUAGUAACUAGUACUUCAUAAUUAAGCAAAAAGCUCUUAUUGAAAAAUGACAGAACUAUACAUAGGGAUGACAACAUGGAGAGAUAUUUCGUGAGAUCACAAAUUUAUGGUAUGGCAGAAGUAGAACGCUGAGUAGAGACUCUGUGUUCCCAAUCAUUAUUUCUACCACCAGCUUUCUAUUUGGAUGUUAAUAAUGUUCUUAUGUGGACAACCCUACAUAUUUGCCAAUGUUUAGUUCAUUGACAAAGAAAUAUAAAGAGCUUCAAGAACACUCUAAUCUUUAAAAAAUAAAAUAUCUAUAAUUGGCCAUAUGAAAAAAUUGGUACUUGACAUAUACUGAGAUCGUUUUAUUUUGUGCUAGACAAAUGAAGUCAUAGAACAGAAUGUGCUUUAAAUAUUAUGAAUAGUGCUUGCGUGUGUGUGUGUGUGUGUGUGUGUGUGUCUAUAGAUGCAUAUUAGGCCGCUGAAAAGUUUUAUUAGUCUUUCCAGGAGAGAGACUGCCAACUUUUGAACCUAACUAGAACAAGUAUAUUGCUUCUUCAUAUUUUUAUUAAGGCAAAGAGAGUCUAGUUAAAAAUAAUUCAACUUAUCGUGGAAAUGCUAUAAAUUGCUGUGAAGUGAGUUGCUGGCUAUGGCUUGUCAGAGCAAAUAUAUUGUACAAAUCUUAGGGGAGAAUUAGUGCUUAUGCAUUCAAAUCAAAUCAUCUUGCAGCACACUGAGAAAAAGGUUAGAUUUUUAAGAUAAUUUCAAAGUCAUGAAAAGAGCAAAUAUGCUCCACAAAGAGCCUAGCAACCCUCAAUGACCAAUUCCCCUUUUAUAUAGUUUGGUAUCUGAAUUAGAAUCCCAGAAUCUACAAAUUCCUCUGGGUGUGGGUGCUGCAUUUUAAGGAUUUUAUAACACUGCCAUCACCAAGCUCUCUUUUGAUAUUCACUUUAAGGAGAUAAUUUACGGGCAACCAGAGAGCAUAAACCAAAGUAGAUAUCUAUCUAGAUAGCUAGAUACAUCUCCAUAUCAUUGACAGGAUACAUUCUGGCCGAGUGUGAGUACAACCUAUGGAUGUGGUUGGAGAGAACAUGUGUUCCACCUCAAUGGCAGAUCAGGAUUAUUCCUUCUCAUCUGCUGCAAUGGCUCAAUGUGUUAAGGAGAGGAGCGAGACAGCAAGAACCGCAUUCAUUCAGUCAUACAGACCAAAAGGAGGAAUGUCGCCCAGCCCUCUAAACUGACCCAGAACCCAGAUCAUGUCUCAACUGCUACCUCUCCUACUUAGAAAGAAGUAACUCCACCAAAGCAGGGUUCUGGACAAAUAUUUUUUUAUUGAUCAUAUACAAAUAGAUGAAGAUGGACUUGGAUGUUAAGAAAAAUAAUACUAUACAAAAUCGAGAGUAGACAGUUGCCCCUAGACUUAAAUUAAAAGUGUGCACAUUAGAUAAUUUAAUCCAAUGUAUCAGGUAAAAACUUGAACAAACCUUUUGGCCUCUUCCUUAAAAUUCAGGGAAGCAUGUCCUCCACAAAACAGAAUCAAAAUAUAAAUAAAAGACUGCCUUAAGACGAAAGGAAACCUUACAGAUGAAAAGAAGCCAGAUGAGAGGCACUUAACUAAGAAUGAAAAGAAACUGAGUGGACAAAAUAAUUAUGAGAAGAUGAACCUUCAAAUCAGAAAGAGGGAAAAAAGCUUAUUUGAUACUAUGGGAACUCAAAAGAGAGUGAACACAAAUGUGAAAAUUCCAAGAGUGAAGAAAAGUAUCAUAACUACAUUUAGAGCAUGAGAAAAAGUAUACAAUUUUGAGUAAUAAGAACAGAAAUCAAAAGUAACUAUUGUAUGCUGUAUUUUAGUAGAGCAACACUGAAGAAGAAAGAAAACAAGAAAUAAUAUUAAAUAUGAACAUAUGGAGAACAGAAUAAUAUUUUUAAAAUUUUUAGUUUCUAAGCUUAUCUGAAAUUUUAAUUUUCUUUUCUUAUGUAAUACCAGAGUUAUUAGGAAGGUAUUAUCUAAUAACACUAUUUUCAGUGAUAUUUUAAGUAGUUGUCCUAGAAAAAUUUCUAUCUUUUAAAAAUGUAUAUUUAAAAAUACAUUAAAUGUGUAUAUACAUCAAUCAUAUGUAUCGAUUUCUGUUUUUCUUGAAUUGCAAAUGAAAUUUGUAUUUUUGUGUUCCUGGAAUAAAAUAAACUCGAAUGGGUCGUAAUAUAUUAUUCAUGCUGUAAUUCAACGUAUUUGAAUACUUUAAGAAUGUUACAUUUAUAGUUAACAGAUACUGACCUAUAAAUUUUCUGUCAUAUAAUGAUGCUGUGAGACAAUCUGAGAAGAAUUAAAAUUUAAAUUCAUGUAUUCCUACUUUUUUCUCUGUUCUCUAACUGUAAAAUAUUUUCAUUACAGAUGGAGGAACAAAUAGAUGUUAGAUAAAUAGAUAUAUAAUAGAUCAUCCAAAAUUCUUAUUCUUAUGGUUUUAUGUAGUCAGUAUUUACCUCUAUUUUUCUACAUGUUUAUCCUUCCAAUUUAGUUCAUUACUUCCUGCACCUUUGAUGUCAUAUACAUAAACAGGAAAUAACACAUGGUGGCUGGGAUGUAGAGAGAGCCACAGGACUUGUGAAUGAAAUCCACAGGCAAGGAUGUGGCGAUUCCUUUUGCAAUAUUGGAGGGAAUGCCAAACCCUAUGUUUGCUGUGGAAAAGAGUAUGGUAGUUCCUCAAAACAUCAAAAUGGUAUUGCCUUAUGAUUCAGCAGACCCACAUCCCAAGACAGCAAAAGAAUUGAAAGCAGAGUCUUGAAAAAAUAUUUGCACAUCCAUGUUUGCAGCAGCAUUAUUGGCAAUAGCUAAAACGUAGAAGCAAUUGAACUGUCCAACAACAGAUGAAUGGAUGAGCAAAACAUGAUAUAUACAUACAAUGGAAAAUUAUUCAGCCUUAAACGAGGGAAAUAUUCUGACAUAUGUUGCAACUUGGAUGAAACUUGAGGAUAUUAUGCCAAGUGAAAUAAGUUAGUCAGUGAAGGACAAAUACAGUAUAAUUCCAUAUGUAUAAGGGACUUGAAGUGGACAGAAUCAUAGAGAUAGUACAAUGAUGGUUGCCAGAAGCUGGGGGGAGGAAGAAAUGGGGAAGUAUUGUUUAAUGGGUAUAGUUUCAGUUUUACAAGAUGAAACGAAUUAUGGAGAUGGAUGGUAGGGAUGGCUGCACAAUGUUAUGACUAUAUUUAGUACCACUGAACUGUACACUUAAAAUGUUUAACAGAGUACAUUUUAUGUUUUAUGUAUCUUACCACAAUAAAAAAAUAAAAUACCUUAGGAACAUUUUCCUGAAAGAGUCCACAUAAAAUUCAUUUUAAUGCAUGUGUUUAUGCAUAGCUUUCUAUUUUUCUCUUUUCUCUUUACAUUCCAAAUUAGAAUAUAAUGCUAAUCAAGUAUAGUGGCUGCGUUUCUUUCUUCCUCUAGUCUGCAGGUAGCAUACAAAUGUAAUAAAGUACUCAUUCAUGUCACAUCUAUUUAUUUUCUGCCUUAUACCAAGCUUGUGGGAUUCUCUUAAAUACAACAUUUUUAUACUUACACCUAUGCAAUACCCAUUAGCAUCGCCUUCCUAAAUCAGGGGAAAUUGAGUCUCUGUAAGGUGCAGUAACUUACUAAGAUACAAAACUCAGCAUUAAAGUCUGUAUACUUCAAUAUCCUGCCCUCUUCUCAUUUGUCUUUACUGCCUUUUAUGUAUGUGUUAGAUGUUCAAUAAAUUCUCUUUUUUAAACUGAA